GCUUGCUUAAUUGAUAAGUGUCCAAAUAGUCUUUUAUGCUCAUAGAACCGCAAUGAAGUAGAUGAAAGACAAAGGCUGGAUCUUCCAUAACAGAGAAGAAGAGGAUUAUGAAUUGGGUGAGAAGCGACUUCCAUGAAUGCAAAGAAAACAAGCAAAAGGAAUCAGUGAUUAUGUGCAGCAUACAAGAUUGAUAUUGAAAAGGGAAAGAUGGGGAGAGGGGGUAGGGUUACAAGGAGGGAAGCAGCAAAAAUGGAAAAAUUUUGCGAAUUUCGAGGUAAUAUUCCUUUAUCCUGUUUCCUUUAUCCUGAUUGCUGAGGUUCCUUUCAGGUCAGCAAAUGCCAUCGCUUUUGGGGUUUGG
rnacentral:misc_RNA from 1 species